rnacentral:rRNA from 1 species
CUGGGUGUAAGGGUGCUCAGGUGGUCUUGUAAGUCAGAGGUGAAAUCCCGGAGCUUAACUCCGGAACUGCCUUUGAUACUACAAGGCUUGAGUAUGGAAGAGGUUGAUGGAAUUUCGGGUGUAGCAGUGAAAUGCGUAGAUAUCCGAAAGAACACCAGUGGCGAAGGCGGUCAACUGGUCCAUUACUGACACUAAAGCACGAAAGCGUGGGUAGCGAACAGGAUUAGAUACCCUGGUAGUCCACGCCUUAAACGAUGAAUACUAGACGUUGGGGUUAAACUCAGUGUCGCAGCUAACGCAUUAAGUAUUCCACCUGGGGAGUACGAUCGCAAGGUUGAAACUCAAAGGAAUUGACGGGGGCCCGCACAAGCAGUGGAGCAUGUGGUUCAAUUCGAUGCAACGCGAAGAACCUUACCUGGGCUUGACAUAUAAGCUAAUGUCGAUGAAAGUCGGCGUCCCGCAAGGGGAGCUUAAACAGGUGCUGCAUGGCUGUCGUCAGCUCGUGCCGUGAGGUGUUGGGUUAAGUCCCGCAACGAGCGCAACCCUUGUCUUUAGUUGCUACCGGGUAAUGCCGGGCACUCUAAAGAGACUGCCUACGCAAGUAGUGAGGAAGGUGGGGAUGACGUCAAGUCCGCAUGGCCCUUACGCCCAGGGCCACACACGUGCUACAAUGGAUACUACAAAGGGCUGCGAGACCGCGAGGUGGAGCCAAUCCCUAAAAAGUAUUCUCAGUUCGGAUCGGAGUCUGAAACUCGACUCCGUGAAGCUGGAAUUGCUAGUAAUCGUGGAUCAGCACGCCACGGUGAAUACGUUCCCGGGCCUUGUACACACCGCCCGUCAAGCCAUGGAAGUUGGGGGUACCCGAAGUCGCCUUAAUAAGCGC